CUACGGGCUGCAGCAGUUAGGAAUAAUCUACAAUGCGCGCAAGCGUGAUAGUUUGAAUUGGAGUGCUUGCUCUUUUUGAGUAAGCUUUUUUGUACUGUAAAAAGGUACACGAAUAAGGACUGGGUAAGACUAGUGCCAGCCGCCGCGGUAAUACUAGCGGUCCAAGUCGCAGCCAUUUUUAUUGGGUCUAAAACAUCCGUAGCUUGCCUGGCAAGUUUCUCGUGAAAUCUUAAUUCUCAAAAUUAGGAAGUGCGAGAAGUACUACCAGGCUAGAGACCGGAAGACGUAACGAGUACGUUCAAAGUAGUGGUAAAAUAUGUUAAUCUUGAACGGACUUACAAGAGCGAAGGCACGUUACGAGGACGGUUCUGACAGUCAGGGAUGAAGGCUAGGGGCGCAAAACGGAUUAGAUACCCGAGUAGUC
rnacentral:rRNA from 1 species